GCCUAGGUGGCGGAAUUGGUAGACGCGCUGGACUUAAAAUCCAGUGGCCAUUGAUGGCCGUGCCGGUUCGAUCCCGGCCCCAGGUA
rnacentral:tRNA from 1 species